AGCUUGCUAAUAAUUCUCUAGUGGCGCACGGGUGAGUAACACGUGAGUACCUGCCCCCAAGAGUGGGAUAGCCCCGGGAAACUGGGAUUAAUACCGCAUAAAGCAAUAAAGCAGCAAUGCGCUUGGGGAUGGGCUCGCGUCCUAUUAGUUAGUUGGUGAGGUAACGGCUCACCAAGGCGAUGACGGGUAGCCGGUCUGAGAGGAUGUCCGGCCACACUGGAACUGAGACACGGUCCAGACACCUACGGGUGGCAGCAGUCGAGAAUCAUUCACAAUGGGGGAAACCCUGAUGGUGCGACGCCGCGUGGGGGAUAAGGUCUUCGGAUUGUAAACCCCUGUCAUGUGGGACAUUAAAAGAUAGUACCACAAGAGGAAGAGACGGCUAACUCUGUGCCAGCAGCCGCGGUAAUACAGAGGUCUCAAGCGUUGUUCGGAAUCACUGGGCGUAAAGCGUGCGUAGGCGGUUUCGUAAGUCGUGUGUGAAAGGCGGGGGCUCAACCCCCGGACUGCACAUGAUACUGCGAGACUAGAGUAAUGGAGGGGGAACCGGAAUUCUCGGUGUAGCAGUGAAAUGCGUAGAUAUCGAGAGGAACACUCGUGGCGAAGGCGGGUUCCUGGACAUUAACUGACGCUGAGGCACGAAGGCCAGGGGAGCGAAAGGGAUUAGAUACCCCUGUAGUCC
rnacentral:rRNA from 1 species